GUAGGUGGCAAGCGUUGUCCGGAAUUAUUGGGCGUAAAGCGCGCGCAGGUGGUUCUUUAAGUCUGAUGUGAAAGCCCCCGGCUCAACCGGGGAGGGUCAUUGGAAACUGGGGAACUUGAGUGCAGGAGAGGAAAGUGGAAUUCCACGUGUAGCGGUGAAAUGCGUAGAUAUGUGGAGGAACACCAGUGGCGAAGGCGACUUUCUGGCCUGUAACUGACACUGAGGCGCGAAAGCGUGGGGAGCAAACAGGGAUUAGAUACCCUGGUAGUCCACGCCGUAAACGAUGAGUGCUAAGUGUCGGGGGGGUUUCCCGCCCCUCAGUGCUGCAGCUAACGCAUUAAGCACUCCGCCUGGGGAUACGGUCGCAAGACUG
rnacentral:rRNA from 1 species